AAGUCGUAACAAGGUAACCGUAGGUGAACCUGCGGUUGGAUCAUUAUAAAGAUUCGUUGGCUUGUGGAUCAGAUGUUUUAUAUUCUUUUCCACAGCAUAAAGCCUCCAACACCCUUGUGAACCAUUGGAAUGUCAUUGUUGGUUUCCUGUUCUCCCAUCUUUUUUUUUUUAAUUUGGGAGAACCCUUUCCAGUAUUUCCUCCAGGGGAUUCACUGAGUGGACAUCUGAAAGACUGUGCUUGAAUUUUGUUUGAUAACUGAAUGUGAUAUUGGGAUAAUGAGAAACAACUUUAGACAACGGAUCUCUUGGCUCUC
rnacentral:misc_RNA from 1 species